rnacentral:lncRNA from 1 species
UUGUUUUUCUUCUAGCUGAGGCGUUGGUUCUUGUCCUCCUGCCUCAACCAUCUCCACGUUUUGGUCCUGUCCUGCCUCAACCAUCUCUUGGUUUUGGUCUUGUUCGGCCUCAACCAUCUCAUUGUCUUCUUGUUCUUGUUCUUCAGCAUCAGCCAUCUCAAGGUUUUGUUCCUCAGCCCUCUCUUCAAUCCCAUCUUCAGCCAAGUUCUUGUCUUGCUCAUCUGACUUUUCAAGGCACUUGUGUAACAGCACCGAGUAACUACACUCUUCGAUCAGAAACCACCCUCCCUCGCCAUACACCUGAAGUAAAAACACUCUUCAAAUCAAAACACUUUCAAGGAAGGGAAGUUAAAAAAAAAAGGAAAGGUUAUACCUCAAGCAACUCCUUGAUGCAGACAUUGAUAAGACGCUCCGCAAAGCCAAAAGCUCUCAUGGCAUCUCGUGCUGCAUCCGCUCUCGUCAGUCCAGCCUUCUGCAUGAAAAGAUACAACCCAUCAGAGAUUCACCUAAGAAUGAGUUUUAAAGUCAUGAUCUGUUCAAUUCAACCUCUUAUGUAAUAACAGUUAAAGGCUUUACCUUUCUCCUUCCUCUAGGCGCCAUUACAGCUAUCCUGAAGAAACCCAAGAACAAAAAAACUGUUACUUUUCAGUCUACGUGUUCUACAAUCAAACACAAACACAAAGAACAAAACAACAAACCAUAAAAAGAUCGAAACUUUAGCUCGUUUCCAGAAGCUAAACAGUAGAGACAUUUCAAAAGUCGUUAACUUUAAAACUUAGAGAUAGCCUAAACUUUCAAAAGAUCGAAACUUUUUGUUACAAAAUCAGUAAUCAGUAUGAGACAUUUCAAAAGUCACAAACUUAAAGAGAAGCGUAAAACAACGAAACACACACAUCAGGCGUAGAUCUAGUUAGUGAGAGAGAGAGAGAGAGGAAGCAGCUUACGGCGGUGGUGAAGGAGGAAAGAGACCUAGAGUGUAGAUAGAGACAGAGACGUCACUCGCUUCCUUCUUCUCUUUAGAAAUCGUUCGCACGAGUGAGAGAAAGAGAGAAACAAAAUGUCUAUUAAUAUAUCAUAAUUUAUUAACUGAAUUGUUAUUUUAUUACUAUACUUAACAACCUACCUUUUGCGAAUAAUAAAUUGAUACAUUUUCUUUGUUUGAUUGGUUAAGCAAGUUGUUGUUGUUAAAUGACACAAAUUCUUCUUACAUUCAUGUACUUAAAUUAAAAAAAAUGUCAAUUCGUAUGAACCAAAAUUAAAAACUUAUUUUUCUUAAUCUUGUUAUUCAAAAUGAGAUUAGAUAAAAAUAUGUGAAUACAUACAUUUAAUAAAGAGAGCUCUUUAAUUAAACAAGUAGCCUCGUUUAAAGAGAUGAAAUACAUUCCUAAAGAGAAGUGGAUACAUUUAAUGUGAUACUGGGCUAAGAUCUCAUUUGGGCCACAUCUCAAAGCCAAUUUACCUUAGCUACUAAAUGUUCUUUCCCUGAUGCUGAGAAUGUGAAAGUUAGCCCAUUGAGCUUCACAAUUUAUGAUUAGUCCUGAAAACGUUUAUUAACUCUAUAGGAAUAUAAUGGUUCAGGAUCCAAGCAAGUUUGUGAUUAACUCUAUAGGAGUAUAUUGGUUCAGGAUCCAAGCAAGUUUGUGACAGCGGCUGCACUGGUUUCAGGAGAAUCUGGUGGAGCUCUUGUGGUGGUGGCUGUGGAGGAAGAGUCUGUUUAGUUAUAAUAUGUGUCUUAGGCUUUCACCAAUUAUUUUUAUUAUUGCGCGAAAUGAAUAUCAUAUACUGUAUAUAUAUAUAUUAUUUUAGGUAUUAUAUGAAAUAAUAAAUAUAUAUUAAAUAAUUUAAAAUUGAGUAACUAUUACAUAUAUAAUUAAAUUGGUGUGAAUAUAUAAAUAAAUUUUAUUAAUGUAAACAAUAUUUUUCUAUUUAAUAUACGUUAUAUUUUUAAUAUUAAUAUCUAUUAAAAUGAUGAUUUAUAUUCGUACGGUUUUUAAUUAUUUGUAUCUUUUAUAGCAAAAAAAAGUUUACUGAUAACAAAGUUUUUAUUUGUGGGAUUAAUGUUUUAGUAAUCUAUAAUUUUUAAAAAUUAAGUUGUUAAUGUUUGUUCAAAACUUUUAUCAAAAAGAAAUUGUGAUCAAAGUAAAUUUUGAAAUUAAAAUAUUUAUGUAUUUUAUAUGGUAUAGAGUUUAAUUUAAAAUUAUAUAUAUGUAUAUAUAUUUAAUCUCAAUAAUUAAUUAAAUUAGACUUUUUAGUUAUAUGAUUUUGUAAUCAUUAUAUCUUGUCAUAACAAAAAAAUUUAACCAUGGAUUAGAAAAUUUGAAUGUAAAAAUUUUAACAAUUUUAGUAAUUUAUAGUCAUUUUUUUUAAAUUCAAAAUAUAACAUACACAAAAAAAUCUAAAUUUUUAAUGUGGUUGUUUAAUUUAUUUUAAUAGUUUAAAAUUAAACAAAUAUAAUUGAAGAUACACUAAUUUUUAUCAAAUCUUUAUUAUUUAAAAUCAUUAAUUGCCAUAUACAUUUUAGUCAUAUUAGUCAAUUCUGUAACUUUUAUUUUAAAAAUAAUAAAAAGCAUUAAUAAUGAAUUUAUGGUUAAUUUAAUAAAAAAAUAUUAUAUAAUUAAAUAGACCAAUUUAUUUCUCUAAAAAUUCUAAGAAUCAUCAUCGUGAUGACAUGUUGAUACCAGUGGCGGACGUAGUAAGAGCGGUACAGGGGCAUGUGCUUCCAUCUAAUUUUUCAAUUUCUUUGAGUAAUUAAGCUUAAUCAAUGAUAGUGCCCCCUAUUGAAUUAUAAAAUAUAGUGAAAAAUAUUAUGUACCUCCGAUUAAAUCAAGUUCUAGAUCUGCCCCUGGUUGAUACAGAAAGAAGUGAUCAUUUUUCAAUUAAUAUAUAUGAGAUUAUCAAUUUAAAGAGAGAGAGAGAGAGAGUAAGAAGAAGAACAAAUAAACCUUUUGUUUUUCUUCUAGCUGAGGCGUUGGUUCUUGUCCUCCUGCCUCAACCAUCUCCACGUUUUGGUCCUGUCCUGCCUCAACCAUCUCUUAGUUUUGGUCUUGUUCGGCCUCAACCAUCUCAUUGUCUUCUUGUUCUUGUUCUUCAGCAUCAGCCAUCUCAAGGUUUUGUUCCUCAGCCCUCUCUUCAAUCCCAUCUUCAGCCAAGUUCUUGUCUUGCUCAUCUGACUUUUCAAGGCACUUGUGUAACAGCACCGAGUAACUACACUCUUCGAUCAGAAACCACCCUCCCUCGCCA